UUGAACGCUGGCGGCAUGCCUUACACAUGCAAGUCGAACGGCAGCGGACCGUUCGGGUGCCGGCGAGUGGCGAACGGGUGAGUAAUAUAUCGGAACGUACCUUCAGUGGGGAGUAACGUAGCGAAAGUUACGCUAAUACCGCAUAUUCUGUGAGCAGGAAAGCAGGGGAUCGCAAGACCUUGCGCUGAUUGAGCGGCCGAUAUCAGAUUAGCUAGUUGGUGAGGUAAAGGCUCACCAAGGCGACGAUCUGUAGCGGGUCUGAGAGGAUGAUCCGCCACACUGGAACUGAGACACGGUCCAGACUCCUACGGGAGGCAGCAGUGGGGAAUUUUGGACAAUGGGCGCAAGCCUGAUCCAGCCAUGCCGCGUGAGUGAAGAAGGCCUUCGGGUUGUAAAGCUCUUUCGGCCGGGAAGAAAUCGCACAGGUUAAUACCCUGUGUGGAUGACGGUACCGGAAUAAGAAGCACCGGCUAACUACGUG
rnacentral:rRNA from 1 species